UACGAAGGGGGCUAGCGUUGCUCGGAAUCACUGGGCGUAAAGGGUGCGUAGGCGGGUUUUAAGUCCGGGGGGAAAUCCUGGAGCUCAACUCCAGAACUGCCUUUGAUACUGAAGAUCUUGAGUCCGGGAGAGGUGAGUGGAACUGCGAGUGUAGAGGUGAAAUUCGUAGAUAUUCGCAAGAACACCAGUGGCGAAGGCGGCUCACUGGCCCGGUACUGACGCUGAGGCACGAAAGCGUGGGGAGCAAACAGG
rnacentral:rRNA from 1 species